GACGAACGCUGGCGGCGUGCCUAAUACAUGCAAGUCGAGCGAGUCUGCCUUGAAGAUCGGAGUGCUUGCACUCUGUGAAACAAGAUACAGGCUAGCGGCGGACGGGUGAGUAACACGUGGGUAACCUGCCCAAGAGAUCGGGAUAACACCUGGAAACAGAUGCUAAUACCGGAUAACAACAGAUGAUGCCUAUCAACUGUUUAAAAGAUGGUUCUGCUAUCACUCUUGGAUGGACCUGCGGUGCAUUAGCUAGUUGGUAGGGUAACGGCCUACCAAGGCGAUGAUGCAUAGCCGAGUUGAGAGACUGAUCGGCCACAUUGGGACUGAGACACGGCCCAAACUCCUACGGGAGGCAGCAGUAGGGAAUCUUCCACAAUGGACGCAAGUCUGAUGGAGCAACGCCGCGUGAGUGAAGAAGGGUUUCGGCUCGUAAAGCUCUGUUGUUGGUGAAGAAGGACAGGGGUAGUAACUGACCUUUGUUUGACGGUAAUCAAUUAGAAAGUCACGGCUAACUACG
rnacentral:rRNA from 1 species